rnacentral:rRNA from 1 species
AGAGUUUGAUCAUGGCUCAGGACGAACGCUGGCGGCGUGCCUAACACAUGCAAGUCGAACGAGGUCCAUGGGAGCUUGCUCCCGGAAGACCUAGUGGCGAACGGGUGAGUAACACGUGAGAAACCUGCCCUGGAGUGGGGAAUAACUCGGGGAAACCCGAGCUAAUACCGCAUACCCUCAGAUGGUCGCAUGGCCGACUGAGGAAAGAAUUUCGCUCUAGGAGGGUCUCGCGGCCUAUCAGCUAGUUGGUGGGGUAAUGGCCUACCAAGGCAGCGACGGGUAGCUGGUUUGAGAGAACGAUCAGCCACACUGGGACUGAGACACGGCCCAGACUCCUACGGGAGGCAGCAGUGGGGAAUCUUGCGCAAUGGGCGAAAGCCUGACGCAGCAACGCCGCGUGCGGGAUGACGGCCCUAGUGGUUGUAAACCGCUUUCAGCAGGGACGAAAAUGACGGUACCUGCAGAAGAAGCCCCGGCUAACUACGUGCCAGCAGCCGCGGUAAUACGUAGGGGGCAAGCGUUGUCCGGAUUCAUUGGGCGUAAAGAGCUCGUAGGCGGUUCAGUAAGUCGGGUGUGAAAGCUCCGAGCUCAACUCGGAGAGGCCACCCGAUACUGCUGUGACUUGAGUCCAGUAGAGGAGCGUGGAAUUCCUGGUGUAGCGGUGAAAUGCGCAGAUAUCAGGAGGAACACCUGCAGCGAAGGCGGCGCUCUGGGCUGGAACUGACGCUGAGGAGCGAAAGCGUGGGUAGCAAACAGGAUUAGAUACCCUGGUAGUCCACGCCGUAAACGUUGGGCACUAGGUGUGGGGAGCCGUCAACGCUCUCCGUGCCGUAGCUAACGCAUUAAGUGCCCCGCCUGGGGAGUACGGCCGCAAGGCUAAAACUCAAAGGAAUUGACGG